rnacentral:piRNA from 1 species
UGACCUGAACCCUGAAAAGUAACCGCCUA